UUAACUAUCUGCAACAUCUGUCACCAUAUUGAUCACAAAGGUUGAUGUGGCUGCCAACCUGGCUAGCUAUGCGGGUGUACCCUUCCUCCCUCACUGCCCCAUGUACAUCCUUCCCAAAGCUCUGUGCUUGGUUGAAGAGAGCUACCUUCCCUGAUAAAAUGGUUAAGUGAUACAAGUUUUAUAGCAGGCUUCAGCUUCAAAUUGAAAAUCGCUUAAUUAU
rnacentral:lncRNA from 1 species